AGUGAACGCUGGCGGUAGGCCUAACACAUGCAAGUCGAACGGCAGCACAGUAAGAGCUUGCUCUUACGGGUGGCGAGUGGCGGACGGGUGAGGAAUACAUCGGAAUCUACUUUUUCGUGGGGGAUAACGUAGGGAAACUUACGCUAAUACCGCAUACGACCUACGGGUGAAAGCAGGGGAUCUUCGGACCUUGCGCGAUUGAAUGAGCCGAUGUCGGAUUAGCUAGUUGGCGGGGUAAAGGCCCACCAAGGCGACGAUCCGUAGCUGGUCUGAGAGGAUGAUCAGCCACACUGGAACUGAGACACGGUCCAGACUCCUACGGGAGGCAGCAGUGGGGAAUAUUGGACAAUGGUCGCAAGCCUUAUCCAGCCAUACCGCGUGGGUGAAGAAGGCCUUCGGGUUGUAAAGCCCUUUUGUUGGGAAAGAAAAGCAGCAGGUUAAUACCCCGCUGUUCUGACGGUACCCAAAGAAUAAGCACCGGCUAACUUCGUG
rnacentral:rRNA from 1 species